CCUACGGGGGGCAGCAGUGGGGAAUAUUGCACAAUGGGGGAAACCCUGAUGCAGCGACGCCGCGUGAAGGAAGAAGUAUUUCGGUAUGUAAACUUCUAUCAGCAGGGAAGAAAAUGACGGUACCUGACUAAGAAGCCCCGGCUAACUACGUGCCAGCAGCCGCGGUAAUACGUAGGGGGCAAGCGUUAUCCGGAUUUACUGGGUGUAAAGGGAGCGUAGGCGGAUUGGCAAGUCAGAAGUGAAAGCCCGGGGCUCAACUCCGGGACUGCUUUUGAAACUGUUGAACUAGAGUGCAGGAGAGGUAAGUGGAAUUCCUAGUGUAGCGGUGAAAUGCGUAGAUAUUAGGAGGAACACCAGUGGCGAAGGCGGCUUACUGGACUGUAAAUGACGCUGAGGCUCGAAAGCGUGGGGAGCAAACAGGAUUAGAUACCCUUGUAGUC
rnacentral:rRNA from 1 species